UUCGUAGGCGGCCCGAUAAGUCAGAGGUGAAAUCUAACGGCUUAACCGUUAGCCUGCCUUUGAAACUGUCAGGCUUGAGUAUUGGAGAGGAAAGCGGAAUUCUUGGUGUAGCGGUGAAAUGCGUGGAUAUCAAGAGGAACACCCGUGGCGAAAGCGGCUUUCUGGCCAAAUACUGACGCUGCGGAACGAAAGCUAGGGGAGCGAACAGGAUUAGAUACCCUGGUAGUCC
rnacentral:rRNA from 1 species